CACGUAGGGCGCGAGCGUUGUCCGGAAUUAUUGGGCGUAAAGAGCUCGUAGGCGGCCUGUUGCGUCCGCUGUGAAAGCCCGGGGCUUAACCCCGGGUCGGCAGUGGAUACGGGCAGGCUAGAGGUAGGUAGGGGAGAAUGGAAUUCCCCGGUGUAGCGGUGAAAUGCGCAGAGUAUCGGGAGGAACACCGGUGGCGAAGGCGGUUCUCUGGGCCUUACCUGACGCUGAGGCGCGAAAGCGUGGGGAGCAAACAGGGAUUAGAACUACCCGUA
rnacentral:rRNA from 1 species